GAGAGAAAGAGAGAAAGAGAGAGAACAGUAAUGUCAUGACUGACUGAUAGCAUACUUUGUUGCUAAGUUAAUUUUAAAGUUUAGUUAGCUUACCAGUAUUAUUAUCAUUAUUAUACAUGUAUUUUUCUUUUUUUACAUAUAUAUUUAUGUUGUUUUUCUAAUUUGGCACUCGACGUCGCAGAACAAAAAUCAGAUAAGACAUGUAUGUCAUAAUCCCAUCGUAAUUAGUAGUAUUUUUUCUCAUUAUUUAUUUUCCACUUAGCCAUUACAUAACCUCUCACAUGCUAUGUGGGUGAGCCCACAUCUUCA
rnacentral:misc_RNA from 1 species